rnacentral:rRNA from 1 species
GAUGAACGCUGGCGGCGUGCCUAAUACAUGCAAGUCGAACGCAUAGCGAAAGGUGCUUGCCCCUUUCAAGUGAGUGGCGAACGGGUGAGUAACACGUGGACAACCUGCCUCAAGGCUGGGGAUAACAUUUGGAAACAGAUGCUAAUACCGAAUAAAACUUAGUGUCGCAUGACACAAAGUUGAAAGGCGCUUCGGCGUCACCUAGAGAUGGAUCCGCGGUGCAUUAGUUAGUUGGUGGGGUAAAGGCCUACCAAGACAAUGAUGCAUAGCCGAGUUGAGAGACUGAUCGGCCACAUUGGGACUGAGACACGGCCCAAACUCCUACGGGAGGCUGCAGUAGGGAAUCUUCCACAAUGGGCGAAAGCCUGAUGGAGCAACGCCGCGUGUGUGAUGAAGGCUUUCGGGUCGUAAAGCACUGUUGUAUGGGAAGAACAGCCAGAAUAGGAAAUGAUUUUAGUUUGACGGUACCAUACCAGAAAGGGACGGCUAAAUACGUG